rnacentral:rRNA from 1 species
ACAACUUUCAACAAUGGAUCUCUUGGCUCUCGCAUCGAUGAAGAACGCAGCGAAAUGCGAUAAGUAAUGUGAAUUGCAAAAUUCAGUGAAUCAUCGAAUGUUUGAACGCAUCUUGCGCUCCUUGGUAUUCCUUGGAGCAUGCCUGUUUGAGUGUCAUUAAA